GUUUACGGGGGGAACGCGAAGAACCUUACCUACUCUUGACAUCCACAGAAUUCGCUAGAGAUAGCUUAGUGCCUUCGGGAACUGUGAGACAGGUGCUGCAUGGCUGUCGUCAGCUCGUGUUGUGAAAUGUUGGGUUAAGUCCCGCAACGAGCGCAACCCUUAUCCUUUGUUGCCAGCACGUAAUGGUGGGAACUCAAAGGAGACUGCCGGUGAUAAACCGGAGGAAGGUGGGGAUGACGUCAAGUCAUCAUGGCCCUUACGAGUAGGGCUACACACGUGCUACAAUGGCGUAUACAAAGAGAAGCGAACUCGCGAGAGCCAGCGGACCUCAUAAAGUACGUCGUAGUCCGGAUCGGAGUCUGCAACUCGACUCCGUGAAGUCGGAAUCGCUAGUAAUCGUAGAUCAGAUGCUAUGCCCG
rnacentral:rRNA from 1 species